rnacentral:misc_RNA from 1 species
GGUUUGUCUAACCUCUGCCCAGAGUAUUUUGAUUUGCAUACAAGAACACAACACAAUAAAACAGUAUACAUUGUUAAAGACCAGUAAAGACACACAAACAAGGAAACACAGAUGCCUAGGAAAAGAUUAAUCACAUACUUAAGACUUAGACAAGACCUCUCGAGAACAACUAGAGACUCUAAUUUCACAAAAAAUAUUUGUUGAUACUAGAUGGAAGACGGACCGCGAUCAUUUUGACCAAGUUUAGAUGGCUGAGGGCUGGGAGUUUGUUUUAUUUCAAGUCCCUUGCCAUUGAAUCUGGGGCUUCUUUCUCCUCUUAGUACAUUGAUUCUUGGACUAUAAGCCCUUUGAGAUAACUGUGGGCUGUGUGUUGACUUGAUUUCAUCAAGAGAGGUAGGAGUUGAACUAGUUACUCUUGGGCUGCAUGAACGCCUAAUCUCCCCACGGCUUCUUGUGAUCAUAUCAUCAAGAACCUCACCACUAUCAAUGCAGGCUGGUCUUCCCUGAGGAUCUUGAUCUCCAUAGGACAUGUUGUAUGCUAUUGCAGGGGCUUCUUCAUAUUCUGCAGCGUCUAGAUCUUGUAAAUGUGCUCCUUUGAAGAACUUGGGAAGCAAAUACUGGCGCACUGGGACUAGAAGCAUGAUCAACAAAGGGAAAAGAACACCAGCUAUUGGUAUCCAUGUGAUGCCGAAACAAAGGAGCAAAUAAAAUGUCUGAAACAAGGUGAACCAGGCAAUUGUCUUGAAAGGUACUGUCUCGACAAAUGUUGCAUGAUUAUCUUCCAAGACCUUGUAUCUUCUACUUGGUGCAGUGAAAAGCAAUAAUAUCCUCUCCCAAAACUGAUUUCCUGGCAAGCUCUCUAUUGCCAUGAAAGCAAAGUAUCCCCAGAGAACAGAAGAAGGAAUCCUUUUCAAGAUAGGCAUAGCAGCCACACAAGCACCAACCAUUAACGCCUGAAGGAGAUUACUUAGACGCUGUUCUUUGACUUCUACUGGUAAGAGCUCAUCAAUAUCCUUAUCCACAUCAAAGACUGUCUCGUCGACUGGUGCGUCUAUGUACCCGGUACUCGAUGCCCGUUGAACUGUGGUCUCUUUUAGCUCUUUCAAUCCCAGGCCAGAAGGAGUUUGAUACACAAGGGGAGUCUGCAUCUCGUUGUAAGCCUCCUGCAUGCUCCUAUAUAAUUGGCCAAGAUUUGCAUUUUUAUCAAUGUUUUUUUUCGCUGUUGAGGCAAGUUUAUUCCGUAAAAGCUGAUGUUUCAGAGUGGCCAAGCUUUUU